CAGUAGCCACGGGAACACGUAGGGUGCGAGCGUUAAUCGGAAUUACUGGGCGUAAAGCGUGCGCAGGCGGUUAUAUAAGACAGAUGUGAAAUCCCCGGGCUCAACCUGGGACCUGCAUUUGUGACUGUAUAGCUAGAGUACGGUAGAGGGGGAUGGAAUUCCGCGUGUAGCAGUGAAAUGCGUAGAUAUGCGGAGGAACACCGAUGGCGAAGGCAAUCCCCUGGACCUGUACUGACGCUCAUGCACGAAAGCGUGGGGAGCAAACAGGAUUAGAUACCCCUGUAGUCCCUGUCUCUUAUAC
rnacentral:rRNA from 1 species